CGGAGGAAAGCAGGGGAUCUUCGGACCUUGCACUAUUGGAUGAGCCUAAGUCGGAUUAGCUUGUUGGUGAGGUAAAGGCUCACCAAGGCGACGAUCCGUAGCUGGUCUGAGAGGACGAUCAGCCACACUGGGACUGAGACACGGCCCAGACUCCUACGGGAGGCAGCAGUGGGGAAUAUUGGACAAUGGGGGAAACCCUGAUCCAGCAAUGCCGCGUGUGUGAAGAAGGCCUGCGGGUUGUAAAGCACUUUCAGUAGAGAAGAAAAGCUUAGGGUUAAUAACCCUGAGUCUUGACGUUACCUACAGAAGAAGCUCCGGCUAACUCCGUGCCAGCAGCCGCGGUAAUACGGAGGGAGCGAGCGUUAAUCGGAAUUACUGGGCGUAAAGCGCGCGUAGGCGGCUUUGUAAGUCGGAUGUGAAAGCCCUGGGCUUAACCUGGGAAUUGCAUUCGAUACUGCAGAGCUAGAGUAUGGUAGAGGGAAGUGGAAUUUCCGGUGUAGCGGUGAAAUGCGUAGAUAUCGGAAGGAACACCGGUGGCGAAGGCGACUUCCUGGGCCAAUACUGACGCUGAGGCGCGAAAGCGUGGGUAGCAAACAGGAUUAGAUACCCUGGUAGUCCACGCCGUAAACGAUGAGAACUAGAUGUCGGGGGGAUCUGCCCUUCGGUGUCGCAGCUAACGCGUUAAGUUCUCCGCCUGGGGAGUACGCCGGCAACGGUAAAACUCAAA
rnacentral:rRNA from 1 species